GCCAGAGUGGUGUAGUGGUUUGAGCACUGGACUACAACCCUGGAGACCAGGGUUUGAUUCCCUGCUCAGCUA